rnacentral:rRNA from 1 species
AGUGAACGCUGGCGGUAGGCCUAACACAUGCAAGUCGAACGGCAGCACAGUAAGAGCUUGCUCUUACGGGUGGCGAGUGGCGGACGGGUGAGGAAUACAUCGGAAUCUACUUUUUCGUGGGGGAUAACGUAGGGAAACUUACGCUAAUACCGCAUACGACCUACGGGUGAAAGCAGGGGAUCUUCGGACCUUGCGUGAUUGAAUGAGCCGAUGUCGGAUUAGCUAGUUGGCGGGGUAAAGGCCCACCAAGGCGACGAUCCGUAGCUGGUCUGAGAGGAUGAUCAGCCACACUGGAACUGAGACACGGUCCAGACUCCUACGGGAGGCAGCAGUGGGGAAUAUUGGACAAUGGGCGCAAGCCUGAUCCAGCCAUACCGCGUGGGUGAAGAAGGCCUUCGGGUUGUAAAGCCCUUUUGUUGGGAAAGAAAAGCAGCAGGUUAAUACCCCGCUGUUCUGACGGUACCCAAAGAAUAAGCACCGUCUAACUUCGUG